rnacentral:rRNA from 1 species
AACGCGAAGAACCUUACCAGGGUUUGACAUGCCUCUGACAUCUUCAGAAAUGAGGCCUUCCCGCAAGGGACCUGUGUAGAGGUGCUGCAUGGCUGUCGUCAGCUCGUGCCGUGAGGUGUUGGGUUAAGUCCCGCAACGAGCGCAACCCUUACUCAUAGUUGCUACCCGCAAGGGAGAACUCUAUGAGGACUGCUCCGGAUAACGGAGAGGAAGGUGGGGAUGAGGUCAAGUCAGCAUGGCCUUUAUGUCCAGGGCUACACACGUGUUACAAUGCGCGCCACAAAGCGUCGCGAACCCGCGAGGGGGAGCUAAUCGCAAAAAAGCGCGCUCAGUUCGGAUUGCAGUCUGCAACUCGACUGCAUGAAGCCGGAAUCGCUAGUAAUGGCGCAUCAGAACGGCGCCGUGAAUACGUUCCCGGGCCUUGUACACACCGGAGUGC